rnacentral:rRNA from 1 species
GACGAACGCUGGCGGCGUGCCUAAUACAUGCAAGUCGAACGCUUCUUUUUCCACCGGAGCUUGCUCCACCGGAAAAAGAGGAGUGGCGAACGGGUGAGUAACACGUGGGUAACCUGCCCAUCAGAAGGGGAUAACACUUGGAAACAGGUGCUAAUACCGUAUAACAAUCGAAACCGCAUGGUUUUGAUUUGAAAGGCGCUUUCGGGUGUCGCUGAUGGAUGGACCCGCGGUGCAUUAGCUAGUUGGUGAGGUAACGGCUCACCAAGGCCACGAUGCAUAGCCGACCUGAGAGGGUGAUCGGCCACAUUGGGACUGAGACACGGCCCAAACUCCUACGGGAGGCAGCAGUAGGGAAUCUUCGGCAAUGGACGAAAGUCUGACCGAGCAACGCCGCGUGAGUGAAGAAGGUUUUCGGAUCGUAAAACUCUGUUGUUAGAGAAGAACAAGGAUGAGAGUAACUGUUCAUCCCUUGACGGUAUCUAACCAGAAAGCCACGGCUAACUACGUGCCAGCAGCCGCGGUAAUACGUAGGUGGCAAGCGUUGUCCGGAUUUAUUGGGCGUAAAGCGAGCGCAGGCGGUUUCUUAAGUCUGAUGUGAAAGCCCCCGGCUCAACCGGGGAGGGUCAUUGGAAACUGGGAGACUUGAGUGCAGAAGAGGAGAGUGGAAUUCCAUGUGUAGCGGUGAAAUGCGUAGAUAUAUGGAGGAACACCAGUGGCGAAGGCGGCUCUCUGGUCUGUAACUGACGCUGAGGCUCGAAAGCGUGGGGAGCAAACAGGAUUAGAUACCCUGGUAGUCCACGCCGUAAACGAUGAGUGCUAAGUGUUGGAGGGUUUCCGCCCUUCAGUGCUGCAGCUAACGCAUUAAGCACUCCGCCUGGGGAGUACGACCGCAAGGUUGAAACUCAAAGGAAUUGACGGGGGCCCGCACAAGCGGUGGAGCAUGUGGUUUAAUUCGAAGCAACGCGAAGAACCUUACCAGGUCUUGACAUCCUUUGACCACUCUAGAGAUAGAGCUUCCCCUUCGGGGGCAAAGUGACAGGUGGUGCAUGGUUGUCGUCAGCUCGUGUCGUGAGAUGUUGGGUUAAGUCCCGCAACGAGCGCAACCCUUAUUGUUAGUUGCCAUCAUUUAGUUGGGCACUCUAGCAAGACUGCCGGUGACAAACCGGAGGAAGGUGGGGAUGACGUCAAAUCAUCAUGCCCCUUAUGACCUGGGCUACACACGUGCUACAAUGGGAAGUACAACGAGUCGCNAAGUCGCGAGGCUAAGCUAAUCUCUUAAAGCUUCUCUCAGUUCGGAUUGUAGGCUGCAACUCGCCUACAUGAAGCCGGAAUCGCUAGUAAUCGCGGAUCAGCACGCCGCGGUGAAUACGUUCCCGGGCCUUGUACACACCGCCCGUCACACCACGAGAGUUUGUAACACCCGAAGUCGGUGAGGUAACCUUUUGGAGCCAGCCGCCUAAGGUGGGAUAGAUGAUUGGGGUGAAG